GGUUCUAUGGUGUAGUUGGUUAUCACACCGUGUUCACAUCGCGGGGGUCUCCGGUUCGAUCCCGGAUGGAACCA